CCUACGGGAGGCAGCAGUGGGGAAUCUUCCGCAAUGGGCGAAAGCCUGACGGAGCCAUGCCGCGUGCUCGAAUGAAGGCCUACGGGUUGUAAACAUCUGUUGUCCGGGACGAAUAAGCCAUGCGAAUAUCUUGGUGUAUGACGGUACCUGUUUAGAAAGCUCUGGCUAACUACGUGCCAGCGGGCGCGGUAAUACGUAGGGAGCAUGCGUUGUCCGGAAUUACUGGGCGUAAGGGGCGCGUAGGUGGGUGCUUAAGUCAGGUGUGAAAACUCGUGGAUCAACAUGGAGACUGCACUUGAAACUGGGUGUCUUGAGGGUAGGAGAGGAAGGUGGAAUGCCUGGUGUAGCGGUGAAAUGCGUAGAUAUUAGGAAGAACACCGGUGGCGAAGGCGACUUUCUAGACUGUACCUGACGCUGAGGCGCGAAAGCGUGGGUAGCGAACGGGAUUAGAUACCCGGGUAGUC
rnacentral:rRNA from 1 species